UCUGCUCCUGAUUGUCCAAACGCAAUUCUUGUGCGAUGGCGACAUACGAACCAAGAAUUGUGUCUGGACAUCUGUAGCAGA
rfam:Tinamus guttatus contig21222, whole genome shotgun sequence.